rnacentral:rRNA from 1 species
UUGAACGCUGGCGGCAGGCUUAACACAUGCAAGUCGAGCGGUAGCAGGCCUUCGGGUGCUGACGAGCGGCGAACGGGUGAGUAACGCGUAGGAAUCUACCUGGUAGAGGGGGAUAGCCCGGGGAAACUCGGAUUAAUACCGCAUACGCCCUACGGGGGAAAGCAGGGGAUCUUCGGACCUUGCGCUAUCAGAUGAGCCUGCGUCGGAUUAGCUAGUUGGUGAGGUAAAGGCUCACCAAGGCGACGAUCCGUAGCUGGUCUGAGAGGAUGAUCAGCCACACUGGAACUGAGACACGGUCCAGACUCCUACGGGAGGCAGCAGUGGGGAAUAUUGGACAAUGGGGGAAACCCUGAUCCAGCCAUGCCGCGUGUGUGAAGAAGGCCCUAGGGUUGUAAAGCACUUUAAGCAGGGAGGAAAGGGUGAUGGCUAAUAUCCAUCAUCAUUGACGCUACCUGCAGAAUAAGCACCGGCUAACUUCGU